UACGAAGGGGGCUAGCGUUGUUCGGAUUUACUGGGCGUAAAGCGCACGUAGGCGGAUGUGUCAGUCAGGGGUGAAAUCCCGGAGCUCAACUUCGGAACUGCCCUUGAUACAGCACGUCUUGAGUCCGGAAGAGGUGGGUGGAAUUCCUAGUGUAGAGGUGAAAUUCGUAGAUAUUAGGAAGAACACCGGUGGCGAAGGCGGCCCACUGGUCCGGUACUGACGCUGAGGUGCGAAAGCGUGGGGAGCAAACAGG
rnacentral:rRNA from 1 species